AUAUGAGCAAAAUGUUCCACAGGGGUACUUCCGGUUAAUUUUGUUUACACUGCACUCACAGCACUGGUAACAAAAUUGUUUUUGCCAAAAUAUAGAUUUUGCGGCACAAACUGUCGCAAAUCAGAUAAAGGAUAGCAAGGGAUAUAUAUUUACUUGGGAAGAUGUCAAAGUUUACCUUUUCCCAAACCCAGGAAAAGCGUUCACGCAGAGGAAACGAUGGCGUCAUUUGUGUAGAAAACCACGAGCAGCCGAAAUUGAGUGCGAUUAUUACAUUCCGUGAAAGCUGAACCAACAAAGAAACAUCAUUGUUCUAGCCAGUUUCCUUAUUUUAACUUUUAGGAAAACCAAGAGGUUCUGGUUGAUAACAAUGGCUGAUCUGCAUAUAAUGACUGCUAGUUAUUGGCUGGUAUGCAGUGAAAGGGAGCUAAAAAGGAGUAAAAAGUUCAUAUCAGCCAGGUAGUGUGGCUUAAAUAAACCAGUGUUAAGGAAUAUCCAGUAAUGGCAUGACAUCAUGAGAGUUUGGCAUACCAACAUUCAGAUGAUUAAUGACGAAACUGAAGACCUCAAGUGAAAGGCAUGGAAAAUGAUCCUGUUCCCAUAUACCUGAAAAAGAGGAGGGAUGCCACAAUAUUGAUAAUAGACUUUUGUCAAUUUGAGAAGCAAAGACGUAAAAAAAAUAAAAAAUAAUAAUAAUAUAAAUGCUGAAAUUAUAAUUCAUGUAUUUGUUAAAAAUACUGUUCACUGUACAUACAUGCAUAUUUUUUUUAACUUAUUUGGAAAUACAUGAAGUAAUUCAUAUUAAAACUGUGAAUGUAUGAGUUUUCAUGAUUUUAUUUAUAUUUAAGUCAAUUCACCUUUUUCAAACUUUUGAUGCAUAUGACGGAUUUCCUCUGCAUUGCUAUAUCUAUCAGGCCCAGCACAAUCUCUAUAUUUAGCUAUAUAGUUUUAUAAAGCUAUUUCAAACAGCUUCAUUAAGCUAGUUUCGAUUAAAUUUCUUAAGUGCAAUGACACAUAACAAUAUACAUGUACUUUGAACUAACCACAACACUAUUCUAGGUAUAGAUCAUAUGUCAUUUUAAGAAUUUUCAUGAAAAGAGAAUUUCUUUUGUAUUGAUAACUGUCCACUACCUUGUGUGUGUCGAAGCUUUGAUAAGUAUAUGAUGACUUUACAAUGUGGAAUCUGGAACAACUUA